UUGAAAUCCUUUCACAAGUGUGGUCCUCAUAACCAAGGUGAUCGACACCGGUCACCCUCCCUGAUCUGGCAGUAGUUUCUGCAGGAGGAGAAAGAAGACUAACCCGUGUUACACUCAACAGUAUUCAUUCUGUGCAGAGUUCUGCACUGGGAAAUACCGCUGAUGGAUCCCAGGAAAUGUCAUUCUUACCAAGUACACCUAAGACUGUUCUGAGAGGACCAUGGAUGAAGCCAAGAGGCUCCAUCCCUGUGUCAUCUUGGAAGAUCAUUUUACGAUAUCAUCAUAGAGUGGUUUUACCAUCACUCUAGUGCUCUGAAUGUGAAUGUGCCUUAACUCCCACCUAUUUCUACUUUAACAUAUCGUUGGAUGCUACUUGGAUUAGUCUUAUACCUGUUUGUUUUCUUUGCUAUACUGUAAACCAUUUUACCCUCUUUUCUACUCCACAAAGUAAGUCACUAUUCAUGAUUGGCCUACAUAGAAGCU